CGAUUUGGAGUUUGUUGCCUAGAGUGAUGGGCUCCGAAGCUAACGCGAUAAAUCGACCGCCUGGGGAGUACGGCCGCAAGGUUAAAACUCAAAUGAAUUGACGGGGGCCCGCACAAGCGGUGGAACAUGUGGUUUAAUUCGAUGCAACGCGAAGAACCUUACCUGGUCUUGACAUCCAUAGAAUUCUGCAGAGAUGUGGGAGUGCCUUCGGGAACUAUGAGACAGGUGCUGCAUGGCUGUCGUCAGCUCGUGUUGUGAAAUGUUGGGUUAAGUCCCGCAACGAGCGCAACCCUUAUUCUUUGUUGCCAGCGAUUUGGUCGGGAACUCAAAGGAGACUGCCGUUGAUAAAGCGGAGGAAGGCGGGGACGACGUCAAGUCAUCAUGGCCCUUACGACCAGGGCUACACACGUGCUACAAUGGCGUAUACAAAGGGAAGCGAAGGUGCGAGCUGGAGCGGAUCUCAUAAAGUACGUCUAAGUUCGGAUUGGAGUCUGCAACUCGACUCCAUGAAGUCGGAAUCGCUAGUAAUCGUAGAUCAGAAUGCUACGGUGAAUACGUUCCCGGGCCUUGUACACACCGCCCGUCACACCAUGGGAGUGGGUUGCACCAGAAGUAGAUAGCUUAACCGCGAGGGGGGCGUUUACCACGGUGUGAUUCAUGACUGGGGUGAAGUCGUAACAAGGUAACCA
rnacentral:rRNA from 1 species